GAUGAACGCUGGCGGCGUGCUUAACACAUGCAAGUCGAACGGAAAGGCCCAAGCUUGCUUGGGUACUCGAGUGGCGAACGGGUGAGUAACACGUGGGUGAUCCGCCCUGCACUUCGGGAUAAGCCUGGGAAACUGGGUCUAAUACUGGAUAGGACCACUUCUUGGAUGUUGUGGUGGAAAGUUUUUUCGGUGUGGGAUGAGCUCGCGGCCUAUCAGCUUGUUGGUGGGGUAAUGGCCUACCAAGGCGUCGACGGGUAGCCGGCCUGAGAGGGUGUACGGCCACAUUGGGACUGAGAUACGGCCCAGACUCCUACGGGAGGCAGCAGUGGGGAAUAUUGCACAAUGGGCGCAAGCCUGAUGCAGCGACGCCGCGUGGGGGAUGACGGCCUUCGGGUUGUAAACUCCUUUCGCUAGGGACGAAGCGUUUUGUGACGGUACCUGGAGAAGAAGCACCGGCUAACUACGUG
rnacentral:rRNA from 1 species